GACAGAGGGUGCAAACGUUGUUCGGAAUUACUGGGUGUAAAGGGUUCGUAGGCGGUGCGGCAAGUUGGGAGUGAAAUCUCUGGGCUUAACCCAGAGGCUGCUUCCAAAACUGCUGUGCUUGAGUGUGGGAGAGGCGCGUGGAAUUGCAGGUGUAGCGGUGAAAUGCGUAGAUAUCUGCAGGAACACCCGUGGCGAAAGCGGCGCGCUGGACCACUACUGACGCUGAGGAACGAAAGCUAGGGGAGCAAACAGG
rnacentral:rRNA from 1 species